AGCGAACGCUGGCGGCAGGCCUAACACAUGCAAGUCGAACGAAGUCUUCGGACUUAGUGGCGGACGGGUGAGUAACACGUGGGAACGUGCCUUUAGGUUCGGAAUAACUCAGGGAAACUUGUGCUAAUACUGAAUGUGCCCUUCGGGGGAAAGAUUUAUCGCCUUUAGAGCGGCCCGCGUCUGAUUAGCUAGUUGGUGAGGUAAAGGCGCACCAAGGCCACGAACAGUAGCUGGUCUGAGAGGAUGACCAGCCACAUUGGGACUGAGACGCGGCCCGAACUCCUACGGGAGGCAGCAGUGGGGAAUCUUGCGCAAUGGGCGAAAGCCUGACGCAGCCAUGCCGCGUGGAUGAUGAAGGUCUUAGGAUUGUAAAAUCCUUUCACCGGUGAAGAUAAUGACUGUAGCCGGAGAAGAAGCCCCGGCUAACUUCGUGCCAGCCGCCGCGGUAAAAC
rnacentral:rRNA from 1 species